rnacentral:rRNA from 1 species
GACGAACCACACAAACGUUGUUCGGAUUUACUGGGCGUAAAGCGCACGUAGGCGGAUCGUUAAGUCGGGGGUGAAAUCCUGGAGCUCAACUCCAGAACUGCCUUCGAUACUGGCGAUCUUGAGUCCGGAAGAGGUGAGUGGAACUCCUAGUGUAGAGGUGGAAUUCGUAGAUAUUAGGAAGAACACCAGUGGCGAAGGCGGCUCACUGGUCCGGUACUGACGCUGAGGUGCGAAAGCGUGGGGAGCAAACAGG